rnacentral:lncRNA from 1 species
GUUUUGAAACUAAUACACGCAAGAUUGGCCAAAUUUCUAUUUUGCUUUCAAAUUAUAUUUUUAAAUGAUGAUGUUGAGUGCUAUCUGAUGUUUGCUUUAGAUCCCACGACUCUCUAUCGUGCACGGACAGAAUACCAGAGUGAAUUCAAGAGGCACUGGAAAGAGGACAGGACAGGUGAACGCUUGUGAGGCAGAUUAUGUCUUCUUUCAUGUUUUAAAAAGAAGAAAAAUUCUAGUCUGAAGUCUAGAGGAAAAACACCAGAAAAAGUAAGAUGCUUUACAUCUGACAACAUGCAAAACUAAUGUUGUGUUCUUCUUGUUUAGAUUCUGUUCAGUGGGAUAUGAUCAAUAUAGUGGAGAAAGGAAAGAAAAUCCUUCAGAAACAUUUGGAGAUUUUUGCUGCCCACGGUCUGUGUCCAAAUAAAUGUGGUAAGUACAGAUUUGAGAUUCCUCUAUAUUUCUUUAUAAUGUUAUUCUAAAUAUCUUUACACAAGAAGUCCAAAUUUUGUACACACUUAUUCUUUGUUAGUACACCAGAAAAAACAAAGGUGUAGGAAAAAUUUUACACUCAGUAAAUUUCACAGAUAAUUACAGUGAAACAAGCAAGUAACACAUGUAAUAAAUGAAAUGUGAAAUGGUGUAUGUGUUACAGGACACUGAGUGUGUAAAGUAUGAUAUAUUUAUCGCUCAUUGGGUGUGUGGGUGCAUACGGAUGCUUGUUUGCUACAGGGCUGUUGUAUCAGAGAGUGAUGAACUGCACUUCCUGCCAGUAUGGGCUCUUUAUGUGUCAGUCAGCCAUGCCACCACUAGACUGUGGAGGUGAGACAGACAAACGCCUACGGAUACACACACCGAGAUGAUUUUAUCUGACUAUAUUAACACAGCACACUUCUCUUUUGUCCUUCUAUCUUCUUUGUAUUCGUUCUCUCAUGCGGUGUUCCUAUCAGAGCAUCAUCUUGAGGCAGAUGAAGGAGAGGAGGUGGUGCUGGACUGUUUCCUGCCCUGGCACGCUCUUGUAGUUGGGCAGAACGAGUACCAAUACUCUUGGCAUCCUGGAGAAAAGAAUCUGUCAGAUGAGGGAGAGUAUGAAGCGCUGGUGGUGACAGAGGAGUCUAAAAUUGUCCUCAAUCAGCUGAAAGUCAAUGAGGAAGGCAUCUACCGCUGCCUCCUACAGGAUCAAAAGGGUACUACGCUGUCCCGCAUGUAUUUCGAACUUAAAGGUAGGCGACGUUUAUUAAAUUUAAUAACUCAUUGUGGUCUAGAUUUGUCCUCCUCUCAUCUGUGUCUCUUUCCCUCAGUCAACCCACUGCCGUCUACAACCCCUAGACUGAUUGUGGCUUUGCCGUCCCUGCCCUCGGGUUAUGAUGCCACACUUCACGGCCUUCAGAGGAGCAGUUUCAUCAUUAUAGUGAUUUUACUGACUGUACUCAGCAUCACGGGCAGCCUUGUCAUCAUAGUGAACCUAAGGUAUGUCAUAACAGGAUGGUUAGAACAUAUUAAAAAGGGGCUUUUGGGGAAGUCGUGGCCUAAUGGUUAG